AGCAAGAAUUGGGGGGCAGGAAUAAAAGGGGGGCUACCAGCUGAGACCAUACUCUGAGAACAACUGGACAAAGCGGGCAAGUAAAUUAAGACUCUUUUUUGGAGCCAAUCUGAGUAGGACCAUCUAACCAGCAGGAAGAGUUGGAAGAGACCAAAGCAGGAAGUGUGGUGAGCAGGAAUGAAAGGGGCCUAGUAACUGAGACCCUACUCAGAACACUACUUGACCCAGGGGGCAAGAAAACAGGACUCUUUAUUGGGGCCUGUUGAGCAGGACCAACUACACAUCAGGAAUCGUUGGAAGAGACCAAACCGGGGCUCUGCGAGCUCUGCAGUUGAGGCCUUGGUCUGAGGCAGGAGUCCUGAGGUCACAGAGCAGAGGAGGAGGCGCGGCCGCGUGCCAGUCGGUUGUCCAGGCGAGGGUCUGGCGACCAUCAUGCCCCUGGGUGAGAGGAGUGUGUUCUGCAAGCCUAAGGAGGAGCCAAGAGAGGUCCCGCUGCCACGGGAUGCACCGCUGCCAGAGCCUGAGGACAGGGAGGUGGAGGAGGUGGAGUUGAAGAAGGAGGAGGUGGAGUUGAAGAAGGAGGAGGUGGAGGUGGAGGAGGUGGAGGAGGUGGAUG